AGUGAACGCUGGCGGUAGGCCUAACACAUGCAAGUCGAACGGCAGCACAGUAAGAGCUUGCUCUUACGGGUGGCGAGUGGCGGACGGGUGAGGAAUACAUCGGAAUCUACUUUUUCGUGGGGGAUAACGUAGGGAAACUUACGCUAAUUCCGCAUACGACCUACGGGUGAAAGCAGGGGAUCUUCGGACCAUGCGCGAUUGAAUGAGCCGAUGUCGGAUUAGCUAGUUGGCGGGGUAAAGGCCCACCAAGGCGACGAUCCGUAGCUGGUCUGAGAGGAUGAUCAGCCACACUGGAACUGAGACACGGUCCAGACUCCUACGGGAGGCAGCAGUGGGGAAUAUUGGACAAUGGGCGCAAGCCUGAUCCAGCCAUACCGCGUGAGUGAAGAAGGCCUUCGGGUUGUAAAGCCCUUUUGUUGGGAAAGAAAAGCAGCAGGUUAAUACCCCGCUGUUCUGACGGUACCCAAAGAAUAAGCACCGGCUAACUUCGUG
rnacentral:rRNA from 1 species